rnacentral:rRNA from 1 species
UGGGGAAUUUUGGACAAUGGGCGAAAGCCUGAUCCAGCAAUGCCGCGUGUGUGAAGAAGGCCUUCGGGUUGUAAAGCACUUUUGUCCGGAAAGAAAUCCUUGGCUCUAAUACAGUCGGGGGAUGACGGUACCGGAAGAAUAAGCACCGGCUAACUACGUGCCAGCAGCCGCGGUAAUACGUAGGGUGCAAGCGUUAAUCGGAAUUACUGGGCGUAAAGCGUGCGCAGGCGGUUUGCUAAGACCGAUGUGAAAUCCCCGGGCUCAACCUGGGAACUGCAUUGGUGACUGGCAGGCUAGAGUAUGGCAGAGGGGGGUAGAAUUCCACGUGUAGCAGUGAAAUGCGUAGAGAUGUGGAGGAAUACCGAUGGCGAAGGCAGCCCCCUGGGCCAAUACUGACGCUCAUGCACGAAAGCGUGGGGAGCAAACAGGAUUCAGAUACCCUGGUAGUCCACGCCCUAAACGAUGUCAACUAGUUGUUGGGGAUUCAUUUCCUUAGUAACGUAGCUAACGCGUGAAGUUGACCGCCUGGGGAGUACGGUCGCAAGAUU